UUCCAAUCCAGAUUGUUAGGAUAGAGGACUGAAAAUUCUC
rnacentral:tRNA from 2 species